UCAGAAAUUACCGACUUCUCUUUAGAUCGAUAUUCACUUUUUUAUUAGUGUAUGACAUGCUUCGAGUUUAUAUAAAUACGAUAAUUUUAUUUAUCAUAUCUUUGUCAUUUUUACACCUUAAUCUCAACUUCUACUCUCGAAUUUCUGAAAAAAUCUCUAUUUUUUUCUUAAUGAUCUUUGUGACAACUUUUUCUAAUGGAGUAUUAAUGGCCAAAGCCUGAAGAUGGUAUGACUAGUAGGGCAAAAAGAUGUCAGCAUUUGAAAACAUGGUUAACAACUCAUUAAUAACUAUAGUUGGCUCUCCAGGUAUCUCUAACACUCCACGUUUUAAAGACUUGUCCACAUUUAAUUCUUUACAUGAAAAAUUCAUUUCCACUAGACCUUCUAAUCAACCCUAUUAAUAGAUGACCAAAUUUUUGUUAUAUAAUGGAGCCCUGUUGGAGACUAGCGUAAAAAAAAGCAGAAUCAUGUUGGCAUUAGGAGUAUACAUUACAUUAGGAGUGUAAGUGUUGUUAUGUAUUACUAGUAAGAGUAGUAGAAUUCAAGUAUAACUCCCAUAUAUUGUAACUUGCCAACAACAUAUAUAAGGAGGUAUUGUGCAGUAAUUUUAUAUACAAAAUAUAUCAAUAAUAUUUAGCUCUUCUUUUCCUUUAUGUACUGUGCUUUCUACAUGGUAUUAGGGCAGUAAAAAAAAACCACAAAAAUCUUGUAACAAUAGCCUCAAACACAACUUUCAUGUCCUUGUCAACUUCGUCUACGCAUCCAUCUUAUUGUUGCUUGUCCAGUCAAGAUUAAGCCUACUAAGUACUUGAUUUGGAGAAUUCAGCUUAUGCAGGUCAUGAAAGUAACCAACUUGAUAAAAGGAGAUAGACGAUCAAGUACCACAAGAAGGGAAAAAUUAUUGAACGCAAGGAGAAGAAGAUUUGAAGACUCUUUGGGAAGAGAAAAAUAUGUUGUUGAGGAAAUAUGACUGAGCAGAGCAUGUAUCUCACUGUCGAUUGUGUUAGGACCGAAAUUAAGCAGGUGUAAACGCGGAAAGAUAGUAAAGCAAACCUCGAAAGACAACGACAACGAGAAAUAUACCAAAA